AUGCUGGUGUGCCGACGCCAGUUGGAGGAUGGCUUGGCUUGAGAAGAGAUGAAGGACGUGGCAAGCUGCGAUAAGCCCAGGGUAGGUGCACGCGACCAUUGAUCCUGGGAUGUCCGAAUUGGAAUCCUAUGCGCAAGCAUACUCUGUUACAAAGGUAGCAGAGAUCGAACCGUGGGAAGUGAAGCAUCUGAGUACCACGAGGAAAAGAAAUCAACCGAGAUUUCCUAAGUAGCGGCGAGCGAAAGGGAAUUCAGCCCAAACUGAAUCUGCCAUGGUAACAUGGUAGAGAUGUGGUGUCGUUAUGGUAUUACGAUCCUCGGAUUCGAGCUCAAGUGGUCUGGAACGAUCCGCCGUAGAGGGUGAAAGCCCCGUGAGCAAAAGAAG
rnacentral:rRNA from 1 species